rnacentral:sRNA from 1 species
CUUGAUGCCCAUGGCAAAGUUGCCACGACCAUCGAAGGACUUCGGAUUGAGGCCGCGGAAGUCUCGAACACGCGGAAGAGCGAUGUUGAU